rnacentral:lncRNA from 1 species
UCAAAGAUAUCAAGUAAUAGGAAGUGUAGAAGACAGAGGUUAAAUCAAAAGAAAAUCGUUUGAAAGACAGAGACCAAAGAGAUUUAGGCAAAGAAUUUGGGUUUGCAAAUAUAAAUUAGGGAAAUGAGAAACCUGGCCGUGAAACUCGUGUAUAAUGCCAUAGAAGGCAUCAUCAGACAAAAACCACCGGAGAAAAGCCGGAAACAGACCCAAAUGAAGCUUCAGCGACCGUCUUUCAUGGCGGAAGCUGCUGGGCUUCAAGCUUUAGAGAGAAAACAACGAUACAAGGACUCCAUGGCUGCUAGAGGUCGAGAGAAGUGAGAUAGGAGUGGGCCGGAGAGGCGAUGAUCUUCAUCGGAGAAGAAUGGAACAGAAGGUCCUAGAGAGAAAGGAGAGCAUAUGUUAGAGAGAUA